AAGAUACGCCUCCUUUGUUCUGAAAUUCACGCUUUUUAUUAUAAAAAGCGUGAAUUUCAGAACAUAGGAGUGUAUAAA
rnacentral:sRNA from 1 species